rnacentral:lncRNA from 1 species
CUGCCUCUUUAUGAAAGAAUUUUAUAAAUGUGCCAAAAGAAUAAAAAGGAGACCGGAGGAAGAAUGCAUAGAACCAACAGUGAAAAAGGCUGCUGCUAAUUUUCUAACUAAGGUGAGAAAUAUCAACCUCGUCAGGAAUCUUGAAGGUAUCUGCUGCACCAAACUUUCUAAAUUCCUCGCCUUCAGUCACUGAGUCGUCUUCAUUAUCGUCGUACUCUUCUGCCGAAUCCUGAUGACGGGGGGUUGAAGGGUCGUACAUGCUUCUGGACCUGCAGUCAUGAGUUGCAAGCAUGUUCACUUGGCCAAGGUGUGAAAGCUCUACCAUCACAGUUUCAUCAUCCAUUGGCAGUGGCUGUUUCCAGGGCUCCCCAUCCAUCCUCAUAAAUGUAUGGUCUGCUGCUCCUUUCCGAAAUUCGAAGCGAAUGCGGUUUGCCUAGUCAGCCACGAAAGAGAAACCAACCAAACUCGAUAAGUUAUAAUUUGUAUGCACCCAAUCCCAUCACUUCUUUUUGUACAACACUUUACCUGGGCAAGUCGUGUACCGUGUCCAUUUGGAGCGAGCAGGACAAGACCGUGCCAAGCAUUUCUGAACCCAACAACCUCAAUGUAGCCAUCGUCAACGAACGGUGGAGUCAAGUCUCUCUGUUGUGUGAAAAGAAAUAAAUGUGCACAUUAUUUUACCACCAUGGCAAAGAUAUAUAUAAAUGUCAAGACCUACGUCACGUUGUUUCCUGGGAUUUGGUGUGCCCCAAGGAUUUAGCCCUCCAGAAAAGCUGGGCAGAUUAAGACAUACAAUGGACCUCAUGCUGUGAGAGCAGAAACAAAAACGUCAGGAGUUGGAGUGUAUAUUCUUUUAUUCAAGGUUGAACAGCUUAUUGCAAGAAAGAAGGGCAUUGACAAUGAUUAUUAUAUCCAGUAAAAGAAAGAUGUAAAAUCCCAAGUGAUUCCUUAAGGAACCAUUUAGAUAAAGAUUACCUAUGGGGUAUGUCAAGGUCCUGCCAUUGGCCAUUUUUAUUUGCAAUCUUAACCUUUGCAAGCUGAGCUAUGUUCCUGCAGGGGAAUAGCCACCAUUACAAACAAGGACUUGAAAUCUAAGAAAAUGGGAACCCACUACCAAUAAUAUAUAUAUUCACUUGCUCACCGUGAAGCAGGGUGGAAUAGAGAGGCACAAAACCAUCCUUGCGUGCAACCAAGCUUUACAUACGUACUCUAGCCAAAUGGAAUGUGAAGCCAAUGCUAUUACUUGUUUAAUUUUAGUCCUAACGGGAUCUAUAAAUUGAACAAAAAUCAGAAUCGAAAAACUUCAAGAACAAGGUACCUGAUUAACGAGCUGAUUCUUAAAUUUUUCAGGGUGCAGCUUCCUCUCAGAAUGAAACGCAUAAGAAACUUGAGCAUCCAUUCCUGCACACAAAAGGACAAUCAAACUUUCAAGGGAAUUUGUCUUUGAAAAUUGACACGUAGAUAUUAGUUUUUUAAAUCCCAUUAUUUGAUUUCCAUACAGACAAUCCAAUCUCUAUAAUAAUUAGUAUAGUAAGUUAUGAUUACUAGCACAUCAACCAUCCGUAAGAGAAACCUAUCUGCCAAACAAAAAAUUCUCACCGAGGCUAAAGUAAUUCCAGAAUCCCCCGCGAAAUGUGUGGUAACCUUCCUGGAAAGAGUAAAGGAUAAUAUCCAUAAUAAGAGAAAAUUGAGUCAGAAUUAUCCUUCCUGGUAGAAAUGUUAUGUACCAUAUUUAGUUCAUCUGUUGAAGAGACACGGUGAAAUGCAUGCAGAGAAUGUGGUAACUCAAGAGGUGCAAGAGGAUCACAAGGGCCUUCUUUAGGAGUCUUCAUCCUCAUAACUAUGUGCCAACUUAAAGUAGACAAAAUGCAUUCACCAGUUAUUCCAGAAUUAUUUAAAAAAAGAAAAAGGAAAAAGAGAUAUGUAUAUACUUGUCAAUCUUCAUCUCUUUGGCCUUGAGCACUUGAUCCAAAAACAACUCCACUGAAGCUGUAUCAGUUCCUGGAUUUUUCUUUCCCUGAAGAGAGCAAGCAAAACAAGGAUUGAGAUUGAAACCCUUGUGAUAUUGUCAAGCCGGCCCUAAGAUUUAAGGGUAAUAGGCGUUUUUUUUUCUGAAACACAGGGUAAUAGGCGAUUUACUAAAGGGCAAAUCUCCAAAAUAACUCUCAAAAACUAAAAUGACCAAAAUAACAUUUUAUCGUUUGAAAUUUUUUUUUUUUUUUUUUUUUUUUCAAAAGUUGAAAUUCGAGAGGAGGAACUACCAUCUCUACGGCGCCCUCUUGAACUGCUACGCCACCAAGAAGGUCUUGCACAAAGCUGACCAACUCUUCCACGAGAUGAAAGACCUCGGCUUCCUCAGAGGCUGCCUUCCCUACAACGUCAUGCUCAACCUCUACAUCAGGUGCGGCAAAUACGCUUUGCUCGAGAAGCUUCUCCGCGAGAUGGACGAUGGGAACGUCAAGCCCGACAUCUUCACGGUCAACACGCGCCUCCACGCCUACUCUCUCGUAUCCGAUGUCGAGGGAAUGGAGAAGUUUCUCACGGGGUGCGAGUCUGACCCUGGACUUGACCUUGACUGGCGGACUUACGCUGAUGCUGCAAACGCCUACAUUAAAGCCGGUUCGACCGGAAAGGCGAUGGAGAUGCUGCGUAGAUCAGAGCAGUUGGUGAAUCCUCAGAAACGAAAGCAUGCCUACGAGGUUCUCAUGUCGUUCUACGGCGCUGCUGGUAAGAAACAAGAGGUCUACCGUCUCUGGACCUUGUACAAGGAGCUUGGUGGGUUCUUCAACACUGGAUACAUAAGCGUGAUCAGCGCGCUCUUUAAGGCGGAAGAUAUCGAGGGUGUUGAGAAGAUUAUGGGAGAUUGGGAGGCUGGACAUUCUCUAUUCGAUGUCCGGAUCCCGCAUUUGUUAAUAACGGGUUAUUGCAAGAACGGGAUGAUGGCAAAAGCAGAGGGGGUAGCAAAGAUGGUGCUCCAGGAGACAAGCACAUGGGAGAGGUUAGCUCUGGGUUACAAGAUGGCGGGGGAGAUGGAGAAGGCGGUGGAGAGAUGGAAGAAGGCAAUAGAGGUGAGCAAGCCAGGGUGGAGACCACACAAGGUUGUGCUGAUGAGCUGUGUGGAUUAUGUGGAGGGUCAAAGAGACAUGGAGGGUUUGAGAAAGAUUCUGAGGCUGCUAAGCGAGCGAGGACACAUUUCUUACGAUCAGCUACUCUAUGAUAUGAAGGAAGCUGGUGGGGGACUGGGUUGGAAGAUAGUCAAUGCAAUGGGAUCAAGUCAGGUUCAAGAUUAAGGAAGCACAAGUUAGAUUGUAGCCAGAACAAAACAUUGGAGUCUUGCUUGAUAGAUCAUUUGGAUGCUUAAUUCCAUUAUAUUAUAUGUUUUUUCUUUGGGCCUAAUAGAUUAAUAAUCUGAAUCAACUAUAACAAACAAAGACUCGCAUAUAAAUUCGCGGAGUUGCAUAUAAAUUCGCUGCCUCACACAUGAGAAUGAACAGAACAAGGAACGGUGAUGUUAUAAAAAUCCAGAAGCAUUACAUAACUGUCUCGAUCAUUAAGCUUGCACAACAAAUGAAAAGUGGGUACCAACUACGGCUAGCUGCCUCUUUAUGAAAGAAUUUUAUAAAUGUGCCAAAAGAAUAAAAAGGAGACCGGAGGAAGAAUGCAUAGAACCAACAGUGAAAAAGGCUGCUGCUAAUUUUCUAACUAAGGUGAGAAAUAUCAACCUCGUCAGGAAUCUUGAAGGUAUCUGCUGCACCAAACUUUCUAAAUUCCUCGCCUUCAGUCACUGAGUCGUCUUCAUUAUCGUCGUACUCUUCUGCCGAAUCCUG